GACGAACGCUGGCGGCGUGCCUAAUACAUGCAAGUAGAACGCUGAAGAGAGGAGCUUGCUCUUCUUGGAUGAGUUGCGAACGGGUGAGUAACGCGUAGGUAACCUGCCUUGUAGCGGGGGAUAACUAUUGGAAACGAUAGCUAAUACCGCAUAACAAUGGAUGACACAUGUCAUUUAUUUGAAAGGGGCAAUUGCUCCACUACAAGAUGGACCUGCGUUGUAUUAGCUAGUAGGUGAGGUAAUGGCUCACCUAGGCGACGAUACAUAGCCGACCUGAGAGGGUGAUCGGCCACACUGGGACUGAGACACGGCCCAGACUCCUACGGGAGGCAGCAGUAGGGAAUCUUCGGCAAUGGGGGCAACCCUGACCGAGCAACGCCGCGUGAGUGAAGAAGGUUUUCGGAUCGUAAAGCUCUGUUGUAAGUCAAGAACGGGCGUGAGGGUGGAAAGUUCACACUGUGACGGUAGCUUACCAGAAAGGGACGGCUAACUACGUG
rnacentral:rRNA from 1 species